ensembl:lncRNA
CUGGGCCUGUGUGCCCACGUGUGUCUGUGGGUCUGUGCGUUCCCAUGUGUGUCUGUACCCUUCACGUUUCUGCCCUCUACUUCCAUCAGCGACUCAUGUGAAAAAUAAAUUGAACGUGGGUUGUACUAGCAGAGUUGUUCCCUUUGAGUAACACUUAAAAUAAAACUUUGCUAACUUAGAUCAAUGAACCUUCAGCAUGGUGAAAUUAUACCCGCAAUUGCAGGUUAAGGUGUGAUGUGUUUACAGGACAUUCCUAGCGAUCCUUCUUACGUGUUUUGGCAAAAGUGGCACUUGGAUACAAGAACUAUUUGCUUGCGAAACAGAGGCAUGAGGUAUGUGGUAUCAGCAGCUUGAUUCCCAUUGUGUAGCACUCGGGCCCUGCCUGGAUCACCAUCCCAGCUGACACCACCAGGCCUUCAGGCUCAGACUGCACACCCUGGUGAGGAGGCACAACAGGUUGUUGGCCUCUGCAGACAAGGCCGGAAGAACCUCACACCAAUGAGCUACACAGCUCGCUUCAUUCCUACAGUUUGACAGAGAGUGCAGAGGAGCUGACAGCAUACAGCCUGCCACAGAGAUCUCUGACCAGCGGCUGAAAGAAGAGAGAAAAAAUUGUUUUGAUUUGAGGAGCUGAAACAGUUAAAGCAGAGGGGCUAAAGCAGCAACUUGAACCUGACCUUCUUUCUAUUUCCACCAUUGUGGCAUUGGCAACUUGAGUCCGAUCUUCCCAAGGUGAAUUGGACCUAAAUUCUGGGAAAUAAUAAUAAUAAAAAUCCCUACCUCUAAAUCUACUGCAUUAUUAGAUAGGUGGCUGCAUAGAAGUAUAACUCGGAACCCUGCAAUCUAAAAGUUAUCGGUUUCUUUUCACUUUUACUGACUGCAUGUGGGCUUUUCCUAACUUUCUUUGAUGUGGGUAGGUCACCAUGGAUGACAGAGGUCAGGAUGCUGCUGAACAACAUGCACAGGUCAUACAGAGACUUGGGGAGACAUGAACCACAGUAAUCGGUUCUGAAGUCAUCGGUAUUCAGCCCCUGUUUGGGCUUUCCAAACUGUGAAACUGUGGUUUCCAAAGAGCCUAAGAGAACUGAGGCAC